GAUGAACGCUGGCGGCGUGCUUAACACAUGCAAGUCGAACGGUGAAGGCGGAGCUUGCUCUGCUGGAUCAGUGGCGAACGGGUGAGUAACACGUGAGCAAUCUGCCCCUGACUCUGGGAUAAGCGCUGGAAACGGCGUCUAAUACUGGAUACGAGCUGCGAAGGCAUCUUCAGCAGCUGGAAAGAAUUUCGGUCAGGGAUGAGCUCGCGGCCUAUCAGCUUGUUGGUGAGGUAAUGGCUCACCAAGGCGUCGACGGGUAGCCGGCCUGAGAGGGUGACCGGCCACACUGGGACUGAGACACGGCCCAGACUCCUACGGGAGGCAGCAGUGGGGAAUAUUGAACAAUGGGCGAAAGCCUGAUGCAGCAACGCCGCGUGAGGGACGACGGCCUUCGGGUUGUAAACCUCUUUUAGCAGGGAAGAAGCGAAAGUGACGGUACCUGCAGAAAAAGCGCCGGCUAACUACGUG
rnacentral:rRNA from 1 species